GGAAAAUCACUUGAUUAACAGGUAUUGCUCUUGCUCUCUCUUGAUGUUAUGCUUCUUCUUCUGCUUUCACUUCUUCUCACAAAACUUCUUUUUGUGGAUACGAUUAAUUAGUUGGAUGAAAGGUAGCUCACUUCUGUCUUGAAGCUUUCAAGGUGAAGCUUCAAUGGGAAGUUCUGAAUAGAGCUUUGAGUGAGAGAGGAUGAGAUUUGGAUGAUAAAAAACAGAGUGAGAGUAAAUUCUGAGAUUUGAUAGAUCGUGAUCUAAUGAUUGGCCAAAAAAUUGCGAGGCUGUUUUAAGAGUCACAGCUUUGUAACAGAAUUUUAGGCAGGUAGUUAGGUUAAAGUUUUUUUAGGGCCAACUUAGGGUUAGCUGAAAUUCAGUCUAUGUGGAAUUUGGAAUUCGAGCAAAAUGGUUAGUUAUGGAAGUUAGAUGAUUUCUGUUAUGAAUUAGUUACAAUGGUACAGCUUGCAUUUUCUGCUAUUGAAGUUUAAAUUAGCGUUAGCUACAAACUUAUUACUUGAAUUGGCAGCUGAUCGGUUAGUAGGACUUGCAUAUAAUAACUUGUUUAGCAAAAGCCCAAACUAUUGCGUACCAAAGAGUAGUUAGCAGUGUCAAUAAUGCGUUUAUUAAUAAUUUUAAACACUUGUUUAUUAGCCUGUUUUUUUGAACCAUGAUGGUAGCUGAUUGAAUAUGAUGCCCAUUAGCUGUAUACAAUGCCCUUAGUAAAUGAGAUAUGCUAUAAUGGAAUUUUGAGUUAAUACUGAAGGGAUGUGUUUAAUUGUAUUUGAAUUUGAAAAUGAAUGCACAUUUAAAUGACACAGUGUAUCUCCAAUGAGCUGUUAAAGGGAAAACUUCUAGAGCUAUGACCCAUGCUAUGAUUGUUAUGUUCUGAGUUUACUUGUGUUGGAAAAAUGAUGUUGGUAUUGAAAAUGCUAAUGGAAAGUGUAUGUUAUGAUUUUCCAAUUUAGCUUGAAUCACACUUAGAGCCAAUAGCGAAAAUAGUUAGUUCAAUUAGCAUGCUAGGCAUAGUCAUGGAAUGAUUGGUAUAUGAAUGAUUUGUGAAUUGUCACAUGCUUAAUGUAUUGACCUUAUGUUUAUUGUAUGUGCUUGUUUAUACAUGUAAUGUAUGCUGCCAAUUAGUGUUAGGUAUGUGUUGUAAGUGCUUAUGUUGCAGCCCAAUUUACUGAUGUUGAAUUUGCCUCGAUAUAACUAAAGCCAUCAGCCAUGUUCAUGGUGGCAUGGAUUAGUGGAUUUGGUAUUCUUGUGCACUGCAAGGAACUUUGUUGAGGACUUGAUUGUUUCUUUGAUAUGCUUACUAAAUGAUGAUGCUUAUUAUGGAACUAUUGCUGUAAUGAUCUCGCUGUGUUAAUGUUAGUUUGGUUUUGUUUAUGACAUGUUCUUGUUUGGAAUUUCUAGCCUUAGCGUAGGUUGCUUGUUUGAUGUUUGCUUUUGGCAUUGNCUACGCUGGUCUUGUUCUACUUGAGCAGGUUGCUCUUCCACAACUACUUGUGUUUCCUGCUCUAAUUCCUCCAUAGGUGUAUCAAUGCUUUGUGAUUCUUGAAUUUCUUCAAGCUCUACUUUCCUCUCACUGAUUCCUUUGGAAAUAAAAUCCUUUACUAGGAAAACUCCAGUUCGAGCGACAAACACUUUGCCCUCAGAAGGAUUGUAGAAGUAAUACCCUCUUGUUUCUUUAGGAUACCCCAUAAAUAAGCAUUUGUCAGAUUUUGGCUCAAGCUUAGUUGAAAUUUAUCGUUUCACAUAAACUUCGCAACCCCAAAUCUUCAUGCAAGACAUAUGUGGUUUCUUACCACUCCAUAUCUCAUAUGGUGUCUUAUUAACCUUUUUGGAUGGAACACAGUUAAGUGUGUAAGCUGCUGUCAAUAGUGCAUGUCCCCAAAAGGAGUGGAAGAUCAGCGUGUCUCAUCAUGGAUCGAACCAUGUCUAACAAGGCUCAUUUUCUUCUCUCAGAUACACUGUUCCAUUGGGGUGUUCCAGGAGGAGUAAGUUGGGAUAGGAUCCCACACUUUUUCAGAUGGUCAUCAAACUCUAGGCUUAAAUACUCACCACCUCGAUAUGAUCGAAGAGUUUUAAUAUUCUUACCUAGUUGGUUUUGUACUUCAUUCUUGAAUUCCUUGAACUUUUCAAAGGGCUUUGAUUUGUGUUUCAUUAAAUACACAUAACCAUAUUUAUUGAAAUCAUCAGUAAAUGUGAUGAAGUACUGAAAACCUCCUCUAGAUGGUAUGUUCAGUGGUCCACAUACAUCAGUAUGUAUGAGGGCCAAAAGAUCAUUAUCUCUUUCACCUUUUCAUGUGAAUGGAGACUUUGUCAUCUUUCUAAUUAAACAAGAUUUGCAUGUCUCAUAUGAUUCAUAAUCAAAAGAGUCUAAGAGUCUAUCUUUAUGGAGUUUGGAAAUGCGUUUCUCAUUUAUGUGGUCUAAUCGACAAUGCCAAAGGUAAGUUGGAUUUAACUCAUUAGGUUUCAUCCUUUUAGUAUUAAUGUUAUAAAUAUGCAUUUCAAGAUCAAGGACAUAUAGUCCAUUGUUCAUUUGUGCAGUAGCAUAAAAUAUAUCAUCAAUAAAUUGAGCAACAAUUGUUCUUUAUUAUAAAUGAAAAACCAAACUUGUCCAAACAGAAAGCAGAAAUAAUAUUCCUACAAUUGCAGGUACAUAUAACAGUUCUCUAACUGAAUUAUUAAACCAUUAGGUAAAGUCAAUACAUAAGUUCCUACGGCUAAAGCAGCAACCUUUGCUCCAUUGCCAACUCGUGAGGUCAACUUCACCUUUGCCAAAUCUAUACUUCUUUUUAGCCCCUGUACAUUGGUACAAAUGUGAGAUCCGCAUCCAGUAUCUAAUAACCCAUGAUGCAUAAUUAAUAAAUUAAUUUCAAUAACAAAAUACCUGAAGUUGAAGUCUCUACUCCAUUCUUCUUAUCUUCCAGGUACUUUGGGCAGAUCUCUUCCAGUGUCCGGUCUUACCGCCAAUGGAAGCAGGUGCCUUACUUUGCUAUGCCUCACUAGGGCUCCAAUUUAUAUAAAUAAAAGAUUUUUUGGUCAUAUCAAAUUGUUACAAUUUCCAUUUAUAUAUAUAUAUAUAUAUUAAUAUAUAUAUAUAUAAUAUAUAUUAUAUAUAUAUAUAUAUAUAUUAUAUAAUAUUAUAUAUAUAUAUAUAUGGGGCCAUAAGAAAGUAUUGUUUGGGUACAAGGAACGGUAUUAUCACUGUAGGAAACAAACAAUUUGAGAUCGGAGAAGAGUGGUAUAUCGGAUCCAUGAAGGAAUAAACUUUGAACCAAAGAGUAAAGGCAUAUUGUCAAAAAAAGAAGAAGGAAUAAAGUGUUUGAUAUCAAGGCAAACCUCUCUUGGUUCACUAGGUGGACUUUGAUUAGGUCGUCCUAACAGGAUGUGCAUGGAAUCCAAGAAAUAAUAUAUUGUUUGAUCUCAAAAAGAUGGUAUUAAUUGAAUGGAUAGUGAAGUAUUAAUAAAUAGGGUAGAAAUAAAUAAGGCAUCUCGCGGAGAAUCUGAAUCCUCCUGCCUACGUAUUCUCAUCGUGCAAUGAAAAAGUCAGGGCUUUCGUAGUUCAGUCUACUAGGGCUGACAGCAAGAUGAUUGAGGCAAAAUAAGUGAUUGAUUAAUAAUGGAAUAUGAAGAGUGCUUGACAAUUGUUUGAUAAGUAUCAUACUAAAGUAUAUGAAUGAGGGCGAUUGGUUUGAAUAGCUAGGGCAUACGCCUCGUACGCAAAGUCACUCUAGACAAGGGUAAGAGAAACUCUGUCUCAUUAUUCCUCAUUACUUUAGGUGCAUGUCGUAUGUUUUUAUCAUAACUAACAAGUUGUUAGAGAAGAAUCAUCAUUGCUUCUCCUUGAGUUGAUAUUGCUUUAUGAAGAAGAUUUGGAAAUUUAUUUGAUUCGUAUUGUAUUAAAGUCUAUAAAUGAAGACAAAUGCUUUAAAUAGAUGGGACCUACACCCCGUAUGCAAAGUCACUCUAGAUGAGGGUAGGAGAAACUCCGUCUCAUCAUUCCUCAUUACUUAAGGCAUGUGGUAUACAAUUUGAAUCGUAGUUACCAAGUGUUGACCUUUGAUGUAUCUUGUAUAAUUUGCUGCCUGAUUUGACUAAGAUGCCUUGCAUGAAAGUCUGGACUUGGAGCUUAGAGAUCCACAGUGUUAGAAAUAGUCAUAUCAAGUGAUCAAGGGACUUUUGAUCACUUGAAUGGACUGUGGGAUUAUACAUGAUCAAAAUAUUUAGCUAAUCAAAAUUGCUUUUGAUCAACUUGGAUCGAAGGGUUUGAAUUGAUUUGAAAAUUGUGAUUAACAUAAUAUAAGGGUUAAGAUUAUUCACAAGCUAUUCUUAAGGGAGCAUGCCACAAUUAAAGUCAUACUAAUCAAAUAUUCCAUAAAAAAACUUGAUUAAACUAGCAAAUAUUCUAAGUCAAAAUUUAGUCCUAAAGGAACAUGCAUUCUUAUGGCUAAAAUGACAAAAAUAACCCUAAGCGUAAAAUGGUAUUUUCACAUGAAAUGUCAAUUAUGAAAAAAAAAUUAAAUUCUAAUUAAAACUCUAACUAGAAUCUAAAAAUUAAUCAAGCUCUAAAAUCUAUUUUAAUCAAAUCAAAUAACCUAAUUUUUUAGAAAUUAAGCUAAAUUCUAAAACAUCAAUUAAAAAUCUAAUUAGUCCUAAUUUUAGUCUAAUUAAAAUUCUAUGCUAAUUAAUCCUAAAUUCUAUUUAAUCUCUAACUUCUAAUUAAAUCCUAAAAACUAGAUUAACCUAAGGUAAAUGAUUACCAAGAAUUAAUCACGAUUAGAUCUAAUUAAGCUACAAUUUAGAAUUAAAUGUAAUUAAACUAAAGAAAUAUUGGGGGUGCAGAACUGGAACUGGUGUGUGAUCAGCGAAUGGGCCUUAGGCCCAAGAAUUUCUGCUGCAAAAACAAAAACGAUCCACAACACUACAGCUAGGGGGUAUGUGGAUCAGUUGGGGAUGAUGAUGUUUGAAGGAUGGUUAGACCCAAAAUGUUAUAAGCCCAUCAUAAUCACAUGUCAUUGCUUGAAACAAAAAAAACUCCAAUAUGCGCCCCCAAAAUUGAAUUUGAAUGGAGCACAGACGCGCACUCUCUUUGCCCACCCUAUCAAAUCAAUGGCUGUCGCGGGCCACCACACUGAAAAUCGCUUCUCGCGGUUGUGGCCACCAGAAACACAAACCAGAUAUUCUGUUGGAAUCAUCUUCACCUCCCCAAUUCGAAUCCAUCCUCAAUUUCAACCAAUUUCUGAUCCAUUUCCAAAAAUUGGAUUAAAGAGCUCAAGAACCCUAGAGGUUCAAAUACAAAUUACAUAUUGGAGAGACAGAUUCAGAUCCACAAAUGUUAGGGCUUUUAAUUGCCCUGAUGCAAGCUACAAAAUGACAACAUGAUUGUAGUGAAAGGGUGAGGAUGAACCUACCUCUGAAGCUGAGGAUCGCUCCGGAGAAAUGUUGAAUCAAAGAAGACAAACUGGAGAUGGAAAAUCACUUGAUUAACAGGUAUGCUCUUGGCUCUCUCUUGAUGUAUGCUUCUUCUUCUGCUUUCACUUCUUCUCACAAACUUCUUUUUGUGAUACGAUUAAAUUGAGAUUGAUGAAAGGUUAAGCUCACUCUUCUUGAAGCUUCAAGGUGAAGCUUCAAUGGAGUUCUGAAUAGAGCUUUGAGUGAGAGAGGGAGAGAAUUUGGAUUGAUAAAAAACAGAGUGAGAGUAAAAUUCUGAGAUUUGUGAUCGUGAUCUAAUGAUUGGCAAUGACGAGGCUUUUAUAGAGCUCACAGCUUGUAACAGAAUUGGGCAGGUAGUUAGGUAAGUUUUUUUAGGGCAACUUAGGGGUUAGUGAAAUUCAGCUAUGGAAUUGGAAUUCGAGGCAAAAUGGUUAGUUAUGGAAGUUAGAUGAUUUCUGUUAUGAAUUAGUUAACAUGACAGCUUGCAUUUUCUGCUAUUGAAGUUAAAUUAGGUUAGCUACAAAACUAUUAACUUGAAUGGAGUGAUGUUAGUAGACUGCUAUGAAAAUAACUUGUUAGCAAAACCAAACUAUUGGUACAAAGUAGUAGUUAGCUAUGUCAAUAAUGGUUUGAUUAAUAAUUUAAACCACUUGUUUAUUAAGCCUGUUUUGAACAUGAUGGUAGCUGAUUUGAAUAUGAUGCCAUUAGCUGUAAUACAAUGCUUAGUAAAUGGGAUAUGCUAUAAUGGAAUUUUGAGUUAAUACUGAAGGGAUGUGUUAAUUGUAUUUUGAAUUUGAAAAUGAAUGCACAUUUAAAUGACAAUGUAUCUCCAAUGAGCUGUUAAAGGAAAACUUUCUAGGAGCUAUGACCAUGCUAUGAUUGUUAUGUUAUGAGUUAACUUGUGUUGAAAAUGAUGUGGAUUGAAAAUGCUAAUGGAAAGUGUAUGUUAUGGAUUUUCAAUUAAGCUUGAAUCACCUAGAGCCAAUAUGCGAAAUAGCAGUUCAAUUAGCAUGCUAGGCAUAGUCAUGGAAUGAUUGGUUAUGAAUGAUUUUGUGAAUUGUCACAUGCUUAAUGUUAUUGACCUAUGUUGUAAUGUGAUGCUUGUUAUACAUGUAUGUAUGCUGCCAAUUAGUGUUAGGAUGUGUUGUAAGUUAGCUAUGUUGCAGCCCAAUUACUGAUGUUGAUUGCUCGAUUAACUAAAGCCAUCACCAUGGUCAUGGUGGUCAUGGAUUUAUGAUGAUUGGUUUGUGCACUGCAAGGAACUUGUUGUAGGACUUGAUUUGUUCAUUUGAUAUGCUACUAAAUGAUGAUGCUUAUGUAUGGAACUAUUGCUGUAAUGAUCCUGUGUUAAUGUAGUUUGGUUUUUGUUUCAUGACAUGUUCUUGUUUGGAAUUUCUAGCUUAGCGUAUUGCUUGGUUUGAUGUUUGCUUUUGCAUUGCAUUCUUCAUCUUGGUUUAAAAAACAUGUGUGUAUGGAAAGCUUGACAUGUUCUGACCUCAUUCAUACAUUGUUAGGCUUCUUGGUCAUGAGCACAUGAAGGGUGGUUUUGGAACAAAAGGUUUGCAACAUGACAUUGAAAAUGGAAGCAACAUAUACCAAUGGAAAAUCAAAGGAUCAAGUUGGAUCUUGAAGGUCAGGAAAAGGGUUUAGAAUGGGAAAAGAGGUUAAGUUGACUUUGGUCAAAGUUGACCAAAAAGUCAACUUUUGACCAAAGUCAACACUUAGUAAAAGUUGCCAAAUUUGGUAAUUUUAUGUAAUGAUCAUUAUAAUGGAUUGUAGUGACCAUUUGAAUGAAAUUGAUUGGUUUUGAAAUUGAAUCUUGUACAUGUAUGAUCUUGAAUGAACUUGAACAUAUCAUGAACCAUUGUUUGAACAUGUAUGAAAAGGAAUAAAAAUGAGUUGAACAUGACUUGUAAUGAUUGGAAUGGAUAACAUAGAUUAAAAUGACAAUGAUUUGAUUAACAUGAAUGAUGAUCAAGAUUAUGACUUGAAUGAAAUUCAUCAUAAAUCAAAGGACAUGUAUAUGGCUUGAAUGAACUAUGCCAAGCAUGAAACAAACUUUACAAAGGCCU
rnacentral:lncRNA from 1 species